CCCUUAGAUGUCCGGGGCCGCACGCGCGCUACACUGAAGGAAUCAGCGUGGCUUUCUCCCUGACCCGAAAGGGUUGGGAAACCCGUUGAAUCUCCUUCGUGAUAGGGAUUGGGGCUUGAAAUUGUUCCCCAUGAACGAGGAAUUCCCAGUAAGCGCGAGUCAUAAGCUCGCGUUGAUUACGUCCCUGCCCUUUGUACACACCGCCCGUCGCUACUACCGAUUGAACGGUUUAGUGAGGGCCUCGAAUUGGUCUCGGCCCGCUCUUUACCGGGCGGCGCCGUUGGUCGAGAAGACGCUCGAACUUGAUCGUUUAGAGGAAGUAAAAGUCGUAACA
rnacentral:rRNA from 1 species